UCCAAAACAUUUUAAUUUUUUUCUCUUGGUGUUGCUAUUUUGUAGGAAACUCCAGAACACAUAAGUUCCAAAAUACAAAUUAUUGAAAUUCAGUUUCCCAGAUGCUUCAAGGUAGAGAAGAUAGCUCGAAAUAAGCAAACCGGGCUGCUGGAAAUGGCAUUCCCUAGGGAGUUCAUCUCAGCAGAGAGGAAAAGAGCAGCCUAAGUGGGAGCACGGGUGACGGGGUCAGCGGCUCCAGGGGCGGGUGGGAGGCACACGGGUGACGGCAGCCAGCGGCGGGACCAGCUCCGUCCCGGGCGCGCCGCUCCUGCGAGGAUCCCCCAGCGCCACGAAGGCUGGAUGAGUGUCGCUGAUUUAUCUAUAAGCCAGUUCUGAAGCCCUCUGCGGAGAUCUGCCUGGGAGGAAAAGCAGAGCCAAGCACUGAGAACUGACAUGUGAGCUCUGGUGAGGACUGCCACUCCCCCUGCCUUGGUGUGGGACCUCCUGAGCUCCCAUUCCUGUUCUGGGAGUGUUUCUCCUCUCAUCCAGCCAAGCCACAGACCUCCUAGGGAACAAGCAGGUGUUGUAAUGCGCAUCCAAUUUCCAGUUGUGUUAUAUUCCCUGUUUGU
rnacentral:lncRNA from 1 species